UACCAUCUCUCAGCUUCAUU
rnacentral:miRNA from 1 species